rnacentral:lncRNA from 1 species
CCUCACAAUUUUAGUUGCUCACAAUUCCACAAAUGUGAUGAGUCAUAACAUCUGUCACAGGGGCCAGAGCAAGCAAUUGCUUGCCCUUUGUGUAUUGCCAGACUUAUAGUGCUUCCUAGACACUGUAUUCUCUAAGACUGAUGGAACUAUUGCCUCCCUCUCUUAGAGAUGAUGUUUCUACUUCUUGACCUCUCAACCUUUGGGUACCUAGGAACUUUCAGAAUCUUCACUAUGGUGACACUAUUUUCAAAGAGCCUCCGGCUUAGUUCAGUGUUUUGAUUAGUCUUCAAAGUAGGACUUUAAUGCAGGAGAGAGUCAAUGGAUGUAGUAUUAGCAAUUCUUUUAACAAAUAUUUUUAAAUACUUCCUACAUCAAGGACACUGCACUGUGUCCUGGAGAUAAAGAGAUAAAAAUGGGAUAUGGUGACUACUUUGAAGAAUUUGCAGAAUGAAGUUGGAAUGAACGUAUUUGUAGGCAGAGUGGAAGAAAGAAAUGGAAGAUACAAGCAAGUAUGGUGUCAUUCAAUGGAGCAAUUUCUUAGAGAAGAUGGUAUCAAGAAUGAAGGCAGAAGUUAUGACCUUGAAAAAAAUGAAGAAAAAAGAUCUUGUUUCCAGCUCUGCCACACACUAUUUAACUCUGAGAAACUCAAUUACUUAAGAAGCUUCAAUUACUACCCUGGAUUAGAGGUAUCAAGCACACAACAUGCCUAUGCCAUGUGGCCUACCACACUUCCUAAUGCUGAACUUGAUAUGAAUCUAAUUAGGAAAUAAUUAACAAAAUAAAUAAAAAUACAGACACA